rnacentral:sRNA from 1 species
UAGACGGAUGUGAUGACGAUCGGCUGGU